rnacentral:tRNA from 1 species
GCCAGUGUAGCUCAGUGGUUGAGCAUCCACCCAUGAACCCAGAAGUCCCGGGUUCGAUUCCCGGUCAGGGCA